UUAUGACUCAAUACUCAUUAAUUUAUGGUCGUUCUUGUACUAGCUGAAGCCUCAACAGUGACCUGACUUGCUUGCCCAUAUCUAUCUGCUAAUUGCAGCACUGAUUUCACCAUACCUAUGGUUCAAUACUAAUCCAAUCCCAUCCCAUUUUUGUUUACUUUUUUCCCUUUGUUUUUUUCAUUCUUCAUACGUACGCAUAUAAAAAGACUUUUAAUUUCAGUCUUAAGACUAACUAAAAACUUAAAUAUUUUUCCUUCAUUUGUGUUAUUUAUUAAGUGUUUUUAAAAGUAAAUAAUAUAUACAUUUUCUAUUUGCAUGAUUUUAUCUCAACAAUCAUCAAUAAUAAUAACAUUACAAUUCUGUAUAUAAUGGAGGAGGCCUAGUGAUAUUUUUAAUUUUAUAUUUAAUAUUAAUAAAACUGAGCUUGUUUUCUGAUGUAUAUGGUGUGAUUUUCACUCAAUAAUCCUUAAUUUAUGGUCAUUCUUGUAGUAACUGAAGUUUCAACAGUCAACUAAUUUACUUGCCUAUAUAUGUCUGACAAUUGCAGCAGUGAUUAUACCAUAAAAUAUUGAUACUUAUAUCACUGUAGUGUACAUGCUGAUCUUACUCUCUUUCUUUUUUUAAAAACUUUGACGAUUUAUAUCUGGACCACUUCCUCUACAAAGAUAAUACAUUUGGUUGUAAGAAAAAUUCAUUUUCGAUUCUAAACACAAAAACACUACACUCACUUAAGUUACCUAAAUACAAGAUUACAAAACCUCCACCUCCAUUACAAGUCUUAGAAUGGAAGAACAAUGCCAACUAAUACCAGAAAUUGUGUCAAACAAUCAAAAGUGGAGAGUCAAGGUAAUUAUAGUAGAAAAACAAUCACCAAAACCUUCAAAGCAAGGUAAUGGAAGGUAUCAACAUUUGAUCUUAAUCGAUACUCAGGUAACUCUUGUUCAUUACACAUCUUAAAUACUGAGGUUUAAUUAAAUGUUACAUUUAGUUAUACUCUAUUGUCUUAUUUAUCCACUAUUUGUUACACAUUUUUUUUCUCCAGUUUAAGAAGAAAAUAGACCAAUUUAAAUGUCCCAUUUGCCAUGAUUUUGUUGACUUUCAUCUCACAUUUGCCUUGAAAAUGUGAGCUCCAAUGUUUUGAGUAACCCAUAUUAAUUGUGGAAAAACAAGCAGCAAACAGAGGAUUAAAAACUAUUAAGGCUUUUCACUGUGCUAUACAUUUUUUCAUCUUUAUUAUUGAAGAACAUAUACAUGCUAAUAUUUAUAAAACUCCUUCCUAUUUUUAUAUGAUUCAAAUAUCACUGCUUUUGGGGAUCAGCUUGUUCUCUCAUGUCUUCAUUUACUAAUACUCAAUUCUUAUUCACUUUAGGGGCUAGAGCAUAGGUGCAGCUAUUAGAUGUCACGAUCUCGCUCAAUGCAAAUGCAAUUGGUGAAACAGCUGAAAAAUUGCUAUUUACAAGUUCACAAUCUUUGAUGGAGCAAACCAAUUCUGGUUCACAGACAAACUUUCAAGCUGUCAUUCAGAAAAUGCGAAACACUGAACGAGCUUUUCUACUUGAAAGCAUCGCAAGCUGAACCUAAUUAUCAAGUUAUAGAUUUGACAUUAUCUCUAUAACAAACUCAAACAUACAAGUCCAAGAGAAGAAUGCCAAGCAAAUGUCGAUACUCAAGUUAUGGUUACAGCAGUUGGAAAAAUCAUCGAUACAGACUCUCAAGAAGAUUAGUCACCUCCGACAAAUAGAGCUCUUUUCAAGUCUUCAGAUCAUAUCUCAAGUUCAAAGGUGGCUUGUGAUGAAAACAUAAGUUCAAAAAUCUCUGACACAAAUUCAUUUACUCCAACAGAAAACAUGGAGGGAAUGAUGAUUGAAAUUUUUUUUUUUUUUGCGAAAUUCUUUUGACAAGAACCUACUUUUUUUGUGAAGUUUGUCUUGAUGUUCUCUUUUGUUGACUACAUGUAAUAAUCAGAAACUGUCGAGCACAUUAUUGUUGACAAAUGAUGUAUGUAGAACAUGAUAUCUACAUCAUUAAUGCUAGAAACCAGCACUUGUUUA